CCUACGGGACGCAGCAGUGGGGGAUAUUGCACAAUGGGGGCAACCCUGAUGCAGCGACGCCGCGUGAGCGAUGGAGUACUUCGGUAUGUAAAGCUCUGUCAGCAGGGAAGAGAAUGACGGUACCUGACCAAGAAGCCCCGGCUAAAUACGUGCCAGCAGCCGCGGUAAUACGUAUGGGGCAAGCGUUAUCCGGAUUUACUGGGUGUAAAGGGAGCGUAGACGGCAGCGCAAGUCUGGAGUGAAAUGCCGGGGCCCAACCCCGGAACUGCUUUGGAAACUGUGCAGCUGGAGUGCAGGAGAGGUAA
rnacentral:rRNA from 1 species